CGAGCCGACUCCCAACGGGCUAAGCACGUCAAGGUGGUUGUGAAAGCUGUGAAAGCCCCCUCUCUCUCUCUCUCUCUCCCUCUUUCUAGCAUUAAAUUUGGUUUGACAGUAGGCAACUGGGCAUUGAUUUCCUCUCCUUUCCCUUCUAACAUCCACAAACAAACACGAAAAUCUGGAAACCUUUCAAGUGUCCAGACCCAAGAGAGGUUUGAUAUUCGAUUUCUUCAAUGAGGAUUGUUGAUUCACAUGGAUUCUUGUAUGGCAGUCGUCACUUGUCUUCAACCCUGAAGCAGAUUCGAAGCCUGCCUUUGGACUUGGAUCUUUCGUUCCAGCUAUUAAGGGUGAAACAACAGAUUUGUCCAAUCCUCUUCUUCUUUUGACUUAAAAUCAGCAAAGAGCCAGAACCCACUUCUGCAAAUCCCACUUGUUUCAAUUACUAGAAGAUAGAAAUGAGGUGAGUUACGUUUUUUGUUCGUCUCUGUUGUUGUUCGUUUUGACUAUCUCCAUUUUCUUCGGUCAAUGGCUGGGUAAAACUUCCGUCCUUUGGUGAGAUCUGUACGGUUUCUUAUGCUUGCUUGCUUUCUGUGUGAACAUGAAGAGAAACCAUUAGCUACCACUGACCACUUUCGCAUUUCUAGUCUAAUUGGGCGGUUCUUCUUUGUCUUUAGCUAGUAAUGGGUUUCUACAGUUUUUAAGCAAGGUGGAAGAGGAAUUGAGUACUUUUUAAGACAGUAUAGAAUCUGAUUGCUUAGUCGAAACAAGAAAAUAGAGUUUAUAUUGGAAGUUGCAGAAUGGUUUUCCGAGUAAAGUAUCCUUUUUUAUCCCCUUCAGAUCCUUUCUUCUACUCAUUUUGGUAUUCAAAAUAUCUUCUUUUAAUUGCUUAGCCAGUUCCUGUUAUCGUCUAUUACCUCCAUUUUUUUGGGGCGAGAUUCGCCAGAUUCAGGCUCUCCGUGCAGCUAUGGAAACUCGGGUUCUCUCGAGUUAUGGUGGGCAUAUUUGUUUGCUUAUUUUUGUGUUGUCUGGAACUUCCACGGCCAUUAUUCAGCGUAUUGGUCAGAUUUCUCCAGGGUUUCAAGGGUCUCAGAUGAAUUUUAUUGAUAACAAUGGAAUGUUUCUGCUAUCCAACAACUCGGAAUUUGCUUUUGGCUUCUCCACUACACAAAAUGUCACUUUGUUUCUGUUAGUUGUUCAACACAUCGGUAGUUCAAAGGUAGUCUGGACUGCGAACAGGGGAUCCCCAGUUGGAAGUUCUGAUAAAUUCGUAUUUGCAGACAAUGGGAAUGCUUAUUUGCAAAGCGGAGGGGAUGUAGUUUGGUCUACAGAUACUGGAGGCAAGGGAGUAACAGCCAUGGAGCUGAAAGACUCAGGAAAUUUGGUCUUGCUAGGUAAAGAUGGUAAAUCACUCUGGCAGAGUUUCAGCUAUCCCACUGAUACCCUUUUGUCUGGUCAGGAUUUCUUGGAGGGAAUGAAGCUUGUAAGUGAUCCCAGCACUAAUAACUUGAGUUGUUAUCUUGAAAUCAAUUCUGGAGAUUUGAUUCUCUAUGCGGGCUUCCCAACUCCGCAACCUUAUUGGUCUAUGUCUAAGGAGACACGUAGAACCAUUAACAAGGUUGGUGGGGUGGUCAAGUCUGUAGCUCUGAGUUCCAAUUCGUGGAAGUCCUAUGAUAAAAAUCAAGCUCUUCUCUGGCAGUUUAUCUUCUCGGACAAUACUAAUCAGAACAACACAUGGGCUGCAGUGUUAAGCUCCCAGGGAGUGAUCUCAUUCUACAAUCUUGAGAAUGAUGGGUCGACUGUUGCAGAGCCGAAGGUGAUACCUCAAGGUUCUUGUGGCAUACCUGAGCCUUGUGGUCCAUAUUAUGUUUGUUACAGUGACCGGUGCCAGUGCCCUGCUGUUCUCAACUCCCAACCUAAUUGCAAUCCUGGGAUUGACUCUCCAUGUAGUUCAAACUCAAAUGGUUCAUUAGAACUUGUAAAUGCCGGGGAUAGUCUUGACUAUUUUGCGCUAGGGUACAUCCCAUCAUAUUCCAAGUCUGAUCUGAAUGGUUGUAAAAAUGCGUGCCUUAGUAACUGCUCUUGCCUUGCUUUGUUCUUUGAUAAUAGUGCAGGGCAAUGCUUCCUAUUUGAUCAGAUAGGAAGCUUAGAGCAACCUGGCCAGGGUUCUACAGGGUAUAUUUCAUAUAUUAAGGUUCUGACAGAUGGAAACCAAGGGCAAAAAUCAGUUGGGAAGGGAAGCAGCAGUAGCCAGAAACACCUUCCCAUCAUCAUGGUCAUUGCUGUUGUGACAGUACUACUAAUUUCUGGUAUACUUUAUUUGGGAAUCCGGUACCACAAGAAGAAAAGUGUACCAGAGACCCCCAAUUCAUCAGAAGAGGACAUGUUCCUGGAGAAUUUAUCUGGUGCACCCAUUCGGUUCAGUUACAAUGAUCUUCAAACUGCUACUAAUGACUUUUCUGUAAAACUUGGUCAGGGCGGGUUUGGCUCAGUCUACCAGGGGAUGCUUCCUGAUGGGACUCAACUAGCUGUGAAGAAGUUGGAGGGCAUUGGUCAGGGGAAGAAAGAAUUCCGAGCUGAAGUUAGCAUCAUCGGAAGCAUCCAUCAUGUCCAUUUGGUCAGGCUCAAAGGCUUUUGUGCUGAGGGAACUCAUCGGCUUCUUGCAUAUGAAUACAUGGCAAAAGGGUCUCUGGACAGAUGGAUCUUCCCGAAGGCUAGAGAAGAUCAUAUGUUGGACUGGGAAACGAGGUUCAAUAUUGCUCUGGGAAUGGCAAAAGGAUUAGCUUAUCUACAUGAGGACUGUGAUGUGAAGAUUAUCCAUUGUGAUAUAAAGCCAGAAAAUGUGCUUCUUGACGAUAAUUAUUUUGCGAAGGUCUCAGAUUUUGGUUUGGCUAAGCUGAUGACUAGGGAACAGAGCCAUGUGUUCACCACACUAAGAGGUACGAGGGGGUAUCUAGCACCGGAGUGGAUUACAAACUAUGCUAUAUCAGAGAAGAGUGAUGUAUACAGCUUUGGUAUGGUCUUGCUUGAAAUAAUUGGUGGAAGGAAGAAUUUUGAUCCAUCAGAGACUUCGGAGAAAGCUCAUUUCCCCUCUUAUGCCUUCAAGAUGAUGGAAGAAGGGAGGACUAGAGAAAUCCUUGAUUCGAAGCUGAACAUUCACAAAGAUGAUGAAAGGGUGAUCACGGCUAUUAAGGUUGCUUUGUGGUGUAUACGGGAAGACAUGUACUUGCGGCCAUCUAUGACUAAAGUGGUCCAAAUGCUUGAAGGUCUCUCUACUGUUCCUCAACCACCAACCUCUUCUCAGAUGGGGUCCCGUCUUUACUCGAAUCUUUAUAAGUCAAUCAGUGAGGAGGGUUCUUCAUCAGGACCUUCAGAUUGCAACAGCGAUGCCCAUCUCUCAGCUGUACGCCUGUCAGGUCCCAGAUAGCACAAACUAUGUACACAAAUAGAGGUGCAGCCAUCAAAACUAGGAUCCUUCGAAGAUGAAUUAUCACAUCUGCAAAGUUUUCAAAUGCAUUCCUUGCAUUGCCAUCAAUUUUGAAGAAUACUUUGUCAAGAUGGAAGUGUAUUGGAAGAACCCCAUUCUGCUAACAUGUGCUGGGAAGUCCACAACCCUUCAUUUGAUGUGUGGUGCCAAAGAGUGUCUGAAGCAAGAAAAUCACCCCAAGAAAAUGGCCUUCUAAGCCAUUCCCUUCUUCAUGUUGGGUUUUGACUGUUUAAUAUAUUCAUCAUUCCAAGAGUAAAAAAAGGAAGAGAUGUCACAUCCAAGCAAAUUGAGUAGCAAAUUAGCAAUUGAUCCAAAUAUAUUUUGGAAGC